rnacentral:rRNA from 1 species
AUGAACGCUGGCGGUGUGCCUAAUACAUGCAAGUCGAGCGAACGGACGAGAAGCUUGCUUUUCUGAUGUUAGCGGCGGACGGGUGAGUAACACGUGGAUAACCUACCUAUAAGACUGGGAUAACUUCGGGAAACCGGAGCUAAUACCGGAUAAUAUUUUGAACCGCAUGGUUUAUAAGUGAAAGACGGUCUUGCUGUCACUUAUAGAUGGAUCCGCGCUGCAUUAGCUAGUUGGUAAGGUAACGGCUUACCAAGGCAACGAUGCAUAGCCGACCUGAGAGGGUGAUCGGCCACACUGGAACUGAGACACGGUCCAGACUCCUACGGGAGGCAGCAGUAGGGAAUCUUCCGCAAUGGGCGAAAGCCUGACGGAGCAACGCCGCGUGAGUGAUGAAGGUCUUCGGAUCGUAAAACUCUGUUAUUAGGGAAGAACAUAUGUGUAAGUAACUGUGCACAUCUUGACGGUACCUAAUCAGAAAGCCACGGCUAACUACGUG